rnacentral:rRNA from 1 species
GACGAACGCUGGCGGCGUGCUUAACACAUGCAAGUCGAACGGAAAGGCCCUGCUUGCAGGGUACUCGAGUGGCGAACGGGUGAGUAACACGUGGGUGAUCUGCCCUGCACUUCGGGAUAAGCCUGGGAAACUGGGUCUAAUACCGGAUAGGAGCCAUUUUUAGUGUGAUGGUUGGAAAGUUUUUUUCGGUGUAGGAUGAGCUCGCGGCCUAUCAGCUUGUUGGUGGGGUAAUGGCCUACCAAGGCGGCGACGGGUAGCCGGCCUGAGAGGGUGGACGGCCCCAUUGGGACUGAGAUACGGCCCAGACUCCUACGGGAGGCAGCAGUGGGGAAUAUUGCACAAUGGGCGCAAGCCUGAUGCAGCGACGCCGCGUGGGGGAUGACGGCCUUCGGGUUGUAAACUCCUUUCGCUAGGGACGAAGCUUUUUGUGACGGUACCUAGAUAAGAAGCACCGGCUAACUACGUG